CACGUAGGGGACGAGCGUUGUCCGGAUUCAUUGGGCGUAAAGCGCGCGUAGGCGGCUCGGAAAGUCGGUCGUGAAAUGCCGGGGCUCAACCCCGGGACUGCGUCCGAUACUUCCGGGCUGGAGGUAGGUAGGGGAGAUCGGAAUUCCUGGUGUAGUGGUGAAAUGCGCAGAUAUCAGGAGGAACACCGGUGGCGAAGGCGGAUCUCUGGGCCUUACCUGACGCUGAGGCGCGAAAGCUAGGGGAGCGAACAGG
rnacentral:rRNA from 1 species